UCAGCCCAUCUGAAAGAGCCAGUCAUAUCUAAGCCCAAUAACAACAUAUCACGAAGAAAUCGUUGACGAUCAGUCAAAUCACGUGUUUGUCUUGUUUCUUGUCACAGCGUCUCGUUGGAAUUUCUCGUUUGCUCCGCUGUUAGCUCCAUCCGGUGGAAUCUCUGAUUAUUUAUCCUCUGUGAUCACCCCCGAGUGAAGGGAAAUUUUGCGGUUGACUCUCCUGGUUAAUAUAAUAUAGUGCAGAUGGCUAUUGACAGAUAAGGCUGAAUAUUAUCAGUUCGGUGCAAACCUGGCUCUUUAGCAGUGCCUUUACAAAUUUCUGCAGUGGUGUGUGUAAACUUCAGUAAUAGUAAUGUUCCCUUCCAUUUUAGCAUGACAAAGGGUGAAAACCGAACAAAUAUUGCAUGAACAUAGAGGUGAGUCAUUGGAUUCUAGACAUAGCUCCCAUUGUAUACAUUAUAUUCUGUCCCUUACAAUGCGUAACUCUGGGUCACCCCAUUUUUAUCCUUGUAAUGCCUCGAGUUAGAGACAACAGUGGUUGUGAUAACUCACUAGUUAAUAAAACAGUUGUUAAACCAUGUCUGCUACCAAGUCAAUAACAUUUCCACUUUGCGUAGUUUGCCUCCCAAUGUGUAGAGUCGCUGAAUCUCAGAAUCCAUAAGGGGCUGUAUAGGGGCCUGGCAGAGCACAAUCUGGGUAUUUUAUGUGAACGUUGUGGAAGAAGCAAAGAAAAUCUGACUUUUUUUUUAAUUCUCUUGGAUAAUUCCUAGUGUGUUAUGUUCAGUUAUUUCUCUUGGACUCUUUUAAUUCCAUUUUCUAUGGAUAGUUAUGAUUUUAAAAUAUCAUAUACUUACCAACAUGUUAAAAGGCAGCGGGCUCUCAUUGGGGCAGUAAUAUCUAAAAUCGCACCAAGGCUUUAAAAAGCUUUUGUCCUUUUGGUC